rnacentral:rRNA from 1 species
UACGUAGGGUGCGAGCGUUGUCCGGAAUUAUUGGGCGUAAAGGGCGCGUAGGCGGCGAUUCAAGUGACGGGUGAAAUCCCUCGGCUUAACCGAGGAACUGCCUGUCAGACUGGGUUGCUUGAGACCGGGAGAGGCGAGUGGAAUUCCCAGUGUAGCGGUGAAAUGCGUAGAUAUUGGGAGGAACACCAGUGGCGAAGGCGGCUCGCUGGACCGGAACUGACGCUGAGGCGCGAAAGCGUGGGAGCAAACAGG